rnacentral:rRNA from 1 species
GAAGGAUCAUUAAAGAAUGCCCCGUUUUUUGAAAUGGGUUCUAUUCCCAAACCGUGUAUAUAUACCUUCGUUGCUUUGGCAGGCCGCCUUCGGGCGUCGGCUCAUGCUGACCGCGCCUGCCAGAGGACCCAAACUCGUUUGUCUAGUGAUGUCUGAGUACUAUAUAAUAGUUAAAACUUUCAACAACGGAUCUCUUGGUUCUGGCAUCGAUGAAGAACGCAGCGAAAUGCGAUAAGUAAUGUGAAUCGCAGAAUUCAGUGAAUCAUCGAAUCUUUGAACGCACAUUGCGCCCCUUGGUAUUCCGAGGGGCAUGCCUGUUCGAGCGUCAUUAUAACCACUCAAGCCUGGCUUUGGUAUUGGGGUUCGCGGUCUCGCGGCCCUUAAAAUCAGUGGCGGUGCCAUCUGGCUCUAAGCGUAGUAAUUUAUCUCGCUAUUGGGUCUGAUGGUUGCUUGCCAACAACCCCCAACUUCUAAGGUUGACCUC